UUGCUAUGAUGAAUUAUAUAAUUAUUGAUAUUUAUGAGAAUUUAAUUCAUGAGCUUUUAACACUGAGCAAU